rnacentral:rRNA from 1 species
GAGUUGCGAACGGGUGAGUAACGCGUAGGUAACCUGCCUGGUAGCGGGGGAUAACUAUUGGAAACGAUAGCUAAUACCGCAUAACAGUAGAUAUCGCAUGAUAUUUGCUUAAAAGGUGCAAUUGCACCACUACCAGAUGGACCUGCGUUGUAUUAGCUAGUUGGUGAGGUAACGGCUCACCAAGGCAACGAUACAUAGCCGACCUGAGAGGGUGAUCGGCCACAAGGGGACUGAGACACGGCCCUUACUCC